AGAGUUUGAUCCUGGCUCAGAUUGAACGCUGGCGGCAGGCCUAACACAUGCAAGUCGAGCGGUAGCACGAGAGAGCUUGCUCUCUGGGUGACGAGCGGCGGACGGGUGAGUAAUGUCUGGGAAACUGCCUGAUGGAGGGGGAUAACUACUGGAAACGGUAGCUAAUACCGCAUAACGUCUACGGACCAAAGUGGGGGACCUUCGGGCCUCACGCCAUCAGAUGUGCCCAGAUGGGAUUAGCUAGUAGGUGGGGUAAUGGCUCACCUAGGCGACGAUCCCUAGCUGGUCUGAGAGGAUGACCAGCCACACUGGAACUGAGACACGGUCCAGACUCCUACGGGAGGCAGCAGUGGGGAAUAUUGCACAAUGGGCGCAAGCCUGAUGCAGCCAUGCCGCGUGUGUGAAGAAGGCCUUAGGGUUGUAAAGCACUUUCAGCGAGGAGGAAGGGUUCAGUGUUAAUAGCACUGUUCAUUGACGUUACUCGCAGAAGAAGCACCGGCUAACUCCGUGCCAGCAGCCGCGGUAAUACGGAGGGUGCAAGCGUUAAUCGGAAUUACUGGGCGUAAAGCGCACGCA
rnacentral:rRNA from 1 species